CUUUACAUUCAUCUACCACCUCUGGCUUUAUUCUCUUGUCAUCACCUCUUUUCUAAUGAUCCCUGAGCUUUGGAAAAAGGAUUUGUGAUGUAAAUAUCCUAUUUAGAGGUCACCAGAUUAAGAUUUGCAUCUUGGGAAAUAUGCAAAGAAGACAGUACGUAGGCCAUAGGAUACUUUGAAGGCUGAAUUGAUCCAUUAGCCUGUGGUGCUACAAGCCUGGGCUGCAAUAAUGCUGUAUUCCCUCCAGGGACCUGGCAUGAAAUCAAAUAGGAGUCCCUGAGAAGGCAUUCAUCGAUUGUCAUACCCUGCCUCACAACGCAAAGAAAUGCCUAAGCUGAACUGAGCCCCCAAAUUUCAUUAUGAGGCAUGUAAAAUGUUUCCAUUUUAAUAAACCUUCUGAAGUAUCAUA